GUUAUCAUAGCUCAGUUGGUUAGAGCGUGGUGCUAAUAAUGCCAAGGUGAUGGGUUCAAUCCCUGCUCACU
rnacentral:tRNA from 1 species